rnacentral:rRNA from 1 species
AGCGAACGCUGGCGGCAGGCCUAACACAUGCAAGUCGAACGAACCUUUCGGGGUUAGUGGCGGACGGGUGAGUAACACGUGGGAACGUGCCUUUAGGUUCGGAAUAACUCAGGGAAACUUGUGCUAAUACCGAAUGUGCCCUUCGGGGGAAAGAUUUAUCGCCUUUAGAGCGGCCCGCGUCUGAUUAGCUAGUUGGUUGAGGUAAUGGCUCACCAAGGCGACGAUCAGUAGCUGGUCUGAGAGGCUGAUCAGCCACAUUGGGACUGAGACACGGCCCAAACUCCUACGGGAGGCAGCAGUGGGUAAUCUUGCGCAAUGGGCGAAAGCCUGACGCAGCCAUGCCGCGUGAAUGAUGAAGGUCUUAGGAUUGUAAAAUUCUUUCACCGGGGACGAUAAUGACGGUACCCGGAGAAGAAGCCCCGGCUAACUUCGUG